GGUCCUAAAUAAAUGGUUUCACUUUUCAGAUACUAUCAUGUCUGAGAAAAGAAGAGAUGGGAAACCAGAAGAUCUUUGGAAAGUGUAAAAUGUGACCCAUUCAAGGCCUUUCCAUUCUGGGAAACAGAUUGGCUCUGGAAAAGUAGUGUGUGGAGCAAGAUUACUAGAGAAAUAGAAAGAGAAGCCAGGGUACUACCGGGGAGAGUGAAAACGAUGAUUCAUGAACAUUGCGUGAGCGUUAUACCAGACCUAAAAAAGGAGACAAGCUACAGCUCGGAAACUCUCACCUUCAGCAAUAUAACGGGAGAGGCGGUCAAUAAAAUAAGGAUUUCAACAGAGCAUAGUGAUGACUCGUGAGCCCGGCACAUAUCUAAUGCAUUUAAAUGAAAUAUCAGUGCC
rnacentral:lncRNA from 1 species